rnacentral:rRNA from 1 species
CUGCGGAAGGAUCAUUACUGAGUGAGGGCCCCUCGGGGUCCAACCUCCCACCCGUGUUUAACGUACCUUGUUGCUUCGGCGGGCCCGCCUCACGGCCGCCGGGGGGCAUCCGCCCCCGGGCCCGCGCCCGCCGAAGCCACCUGUGAACGCUGUCUGAAGUAUGCAGUCUGAGACAAUUAUUAAAUUAAUUAAAACUUUCAACAACGGAUCUCUUGGUUCCGGCAUCGAUGAAGAACGCAGCGAAAUGCGAUAACUAAUGUGAAUUGCAGAAUUCAGUGAAUCAUCGAGUCUUUGAACGCACAUUGCGCCCUCUGGUAUUCCGGAGGGCAUGCCUGUCCGAGCGUCAUUGCUGCCCUCCAGCCCGGCUGGUGUGUUGGGCCCCGCCCCCCUUCCCGGGGGGGCGGGCCCGAAAGGCAGCGGCGGCACCGCGUCCGGUCCUCGAGCGUAUGGGGCUUUGUCACCCGCUCUUGCAGGCCCGGCCGGCGCCAGCCGACCCCCUCAAUCUAUUUUUUCAGGUUGACCUCGGAUCAGGUAGGGAUACCCGCUGAACUUAAGCAUAUCAAUAAGCGGAGGAAAAGAAACCAACCGGGAUUGCCCUAGUAACGGCGAGUGAAGCGGCAAGAGCUCAAAUUUGAAAGCUGGCUCCUUCGGGGUCCGCAUUGUAAUUUGCAGAGGAUGCUUCGGGAGCGGUCCCCAUCUAAGUGCCCUGGAACGGGCCGUCAUAGAGGGUGAGAAUCCCGUAUGGGAUGGGGUGCCCGCGCCCGUGUGAA